UCUUAAUUUUUUUUAAUUGGAAAACUCGAUCUCUAGGAGGAAAGAAAAAAAAUGGCCUGGGUCCCAGAAAACUGAUUGUAGCCCUAGCUUUUUAAUUUAUUGACUGUGUGACUAUAGGCUGUUUGCUUACUUGCUCUGGGCCUCGGUUUUCUGGUCUGCAGAAUGGAUAUCUUGAUGUGUAUUGUUCUUCUCCUCCACGAUAUGAAACCAAAGGCCUUUAUAGUUUGUUUUCUGAGGCUCCUUCCAGGUGAAAAUCCUAUAACUCCCAAGAAAACAGCUGGAGAGGCUGUCUCUGCUGCCUUUUCCGUCUACCCAGGAGUUUCUUUGAUGGAUGGGAAGCUGUUUAAGAACUGAAAUGAGAGGGAAGAGGCAGACAGACCCAACUGCUGCAGCUCCUAUCAGAAAGGGCGGCAGUCAUGGAAUUGUAGGUAGCCUGUUACUGGUGCAGAGAACAAGCAGGCCUACUUAUGUUAAACCAAAAACCAGAUGCAAAAUGAAAGCGCCCUCUCUGCUGCAUAAACAUUUUGUGUAGCUUCUCUCAUCAUUCCUUUUAGAAACAUUCUUUAGCAGCACAAACUGGUAAUUUCCCACUUGUCUUCUCCAAAUAUGACAGCAAGAUUUGAUUGUUUUCAGCCUUAUGUAGUAAACAUGUUUCAGAAGCAUGAUUUUAAAAUUGGCCUCCUCAAAGCUUAGCGUCUUGCAUAAUGAUGAUGUACGUCUCUGGCAUAUUACAUUUUCCUUUGUAUGUCAUGACUGAGGUUAUUUGUCUGAUGUGACCCAAAGAGCUAAAACUCAGCACAGUCCUUUCUGCGGUAUUCUAAAGGUCAUCAAACUUCAGCCUAGUGAGUUUGCUUGUUUGAUUUGGCCAGACAUUUUAAGCAUGGCAGAAGUGGUACAAGAAAUCAUGGUAUUAAGUUGAAACCACACCCCUAAGAAAAAUGCUUCUAUUAAUUCAAAUAAUUUGACGAUGCUUAUGCGGUUUCUGGAUAUGGAAAAGAAACAGUUAUUGCUGAAAUGGAUGUGUUGAAAUAGGAAGCACAGAUUCGUAUUGUCUUUUGGCUUCCUGGCU